rnacentral:lncRNA from 1 species
GGAAUCAUGUGAGACAAGGGUGGUGGCCGCUCUGGAGGUGCCUGGGGGGUUCCCUCAUUACCCCUCUGGGCUUAGUCCAUCCUCCACACUGUUGUGCAGCUUCUCCACCUCCUGGUAGAGGAUAAAUACUGUUACCCUUAUCCCUGGUCACAUCCAGGGAGACGCGGUCCAGCGGCCCAGGCGGGGGACAGUGCCGUUCUAGAGGUCCUUGAGCCCCUCCUUCCUCAGGAUCUGCAGCCAUAGGCCGGUGUGUUCCGCGUUUGUGCUGCUCCAGGCCCCGCAUCCGGUCUCGAUCCCAUCCAGAGGAGCGUUUCCCAAGACACUGGCUGCGCCCACAAUGGCUCCGAAGACCCCAGCGACCAGCGGGUCCAUGGGCUUGCUGGGGUUGUCCCCUCGGUACCAGCUGUGCAGGGAGGUCAGGAGGAGAAGCAGACGGCCUGGUUCCAGCCCUGCUUUAGCGUGGGUGCCAUGAGGCCCCGACGUUUAAAGUAUUGCUGUGUGUUUCAAGUGGAGGAGGUCAUAUUACAACUGACAUUUGUCCUUGACUACUGGACAUAUCACACCAGCCCUGAUUGCAGUUAUACUUGAAGCCAGAUCUACCCUUAACGUAUAUUCAUUUUACUAUUCAAUAAAUAUUAACUUAUCAUGAAUGGU